UGUGGUAGCUGCACAUUAACUGUGACCCUGCUCCACAUACAUUCUUCAUCCCAGAACCUAAGGAGAAGAAGCAGCCUUUCCUUGCUACAUAUCUUUCUCAUUGCAGAAGAAAAUGAAGACGGUUGAAUCGUACAUGACUCAAAACUUCAGACAUGACCUGCUGAACUGCACAGCUCUAAGGACUAUAUGAGCCAGGCUUCAGCUGGCUGCUGACCAGAGCUUCAGUAUGAAGCAAGUGCUCAUUAAGCACAACGAAGUUCAGACAUGAAUCCACUUCCCCAAAACCCACCUGUGAGCACAGUCAUCUCAUUUCCAAGCAACGAUUAGUUUCUGGUCAGUAUCUCGUACCAAAGGUCUGUGGAUCUGCCAUGGCAUCAUCAUUAAGCUAUCAGGUAUGUCUUCAAC